rnacentral:rRNA from 1 species
AUGCAGGGCGGGAAGAGCUCGAGCGCGGUGGGCGCGGCCAAGGAGGCGGUGGCGAACGUGGGCGCGUCGGCGUGGGCGGGCAAGGAGAAGACCAUGGCCGUGGUGCAGGAGACGGUGAACAAGGCCAAGGCGCACGACCCGGCGGCCAAGGCGGAGGCGGAGGCCAGGAAGCAGGAGCGGAUCCACGAGGCAGAGGCCGCCAAGCGGGACGCCAUGCGCUACAACGCCGCCGCCAAGGAGCACGCCACUGCUGCGUCCUACCACCCCACCCCCGGCUCCGCCGUCGAUGCCCGCGACGUGGAGGUGGAGGGCGCGGCCGCCCCGCGCGCGGGGAGCAGCGACGACAGCUACCUGGGGGCGAGGCACGCGGUGGGCGAGGACGGCGGUCACCAGCUGCCCGCGCGCGGCACGGCUGGCGGCCACUCCGCGUGA